rnacentral:rRNA from 1 species
AACGAACGCUGGCGGCAGGCUUAACACAUGCAAGUCGAACGCAUCCUUCGGGGUGAGUGGCAGACGGGUGAGUAACGCGUGGGAAUCUACCCAUCUCUGCGGAAUAGCUCCGGGAAACUGGAAUUAAUACCGCAUACGCCCUACGGGGGAAAGAUUUAUCGGGAUGGAUGAGCCCGCGUUGGAUUAGCGGGUUGGUGGGGUAAAGGCCUACCAAGGCGACGAUCCAUAGCUGGUCUGAGAGGUUGAUCAGCCACAUUGGGACUGAGACACGGCCCAAACUCCUACGGGAGGCAGCAGUGGGGAAUAUUGGACAAUGGGCGCAAGCCUGAUCCAGCCAUGCCGCGUGAGUGAUGAAGGCCUUAGGGUUGUAAAGCUCUUUCACCGAUGAAGAUAAUGACGGUAGUCGGAGAAGAAGCCCCGGCUAACUUCGUGCCAGCCGCCGCCGUAA